GGUCUGUGGGCACAUUAAGUGGGGCUCUAGGAAGCUGUCUGGAUGGGAGAACAGAAACGUGGCCUUCCCGGAGAUGAGCAAAGCGUUUGCACGGUCCCGGAGGUGAAACCCGCGUGCUCCAGUGACUUCGACAACUCUCCCGCACAGCCGCCUCCCGUCCGGGGCCGUCUGGACGGCUCCCAGCGCAGAGCAGGCUCGGUGCGUGAGGCCGGCCGGUGACCUGGCCCGGGGCGGAGCGGGCGUCCCCGGCCCGCCUCCCUGCGGCGGCCUCCCCGGGCAUUCCCCGCGGUGUCGGAGAGUAUUUUCUCAGUGAUAACUAAGAAAGAAAGCAGGUCACCGGGCACUUCCCCCCAUUGUUUCCCCUUUUUAUCGCCGGCUGAACAACCACAGCUGCCCCCCCGGGGCCAAGCCCGGCAGUCUGAACACAGGAAGCCCGGGCUCCCAGAAGCCGGCCUCUCGGCGAGGGCACUGAACACGGCCAGAACCUGUGAACACCUGACCUGACGGAUGUCGGGUCCUCCCGUUCCGGAAAGGGCAGGCCCGGGUGCGAGGCUGGGGAGGAGGGCACAGGUGCUGCCCCAAGUGCUGCCGGAGAGCCGUCCGGGGGCCCCCCGAGGCCGGGGCCCCACCGGCGACUCAUGCCUUCCUGAGCUUGUUGCCUCAGCGGGAAAUCCAGCCAAGUGUCCCGUGCGCCCUCCCUCACGGGCCAACAGAGAGGGCCAGACAAACUGUAAAGUGCUGUGUCAGCUACCGCGGUGUCAGUGGGCGCUCCUCUGGCCCUGCGCUCCGCCCCCGGCAGGGCGGUGUCCUGAGAGCGGCUCACCCGGCAGGCCUAGGGGUGCGAGGCCGGGAGGACUGGCAGGAGCGGACGUGGCCGUGGCCAGCCCCGGCGUGGCAGGAGACACCCCUUCUCCCACCAGCGAGGGGCUCCUCCUCAGUUUUGGAGGACAUUUUCAAGGUCACCUGGGUCAUCCUUCCGUCACAUUCUGGACUGUUCCCAGCAGGCCCCAUGGUCCUGGUGGGCCGCGCUCCCCGAGGAACGUUCCGGUUCUGGAGACUGCUGAGAGCCACACAGUUCCCGGAUUUCACCUGCAGGUCUUGGCCACACCCCUUCAGAGGAUGCGCGUCACAUACAAGUCCUCUCCGCCACGGCAGCCCCUAAACGAUGCGAGGAGCAGGAGUGCGUUUGUCGAGCGGCACCCGGCAAACAAACGCCGGCACAGAAGCACACCGCAGACUGGCGUGGAGAAGAGACCCGGGGAAGCAGAGGCCGCUGCUCGGACACACCAUUGUGUUUUCUGUGGAGAGGAAAGAGGUGGGACACCUCUGUUUGGCCCUGGGCACAGGUAGCAGGCGGGGCACAGGGGCGGGCAGAGGUGGGACCGCUGGGGGAGGGUCUGCUGGGGGCGGGGGGGGCGGGGGCGGGCUGGGUGUGCACAGGAGGAAGGGGCCGGGAAGGUGCCCAGCAACACGGGUGUGGGGGUCACGGGACGGAGUGGGGCCGCGGCAAGGCGCCUGGGGUUGAGGUCACCGCACUGACUACUCCGGGCACCACACACAUUGCUGGCAGGGGGUGCCGCUGGCCGGCCGUGGGUCUUUCAUCUCUCCCUUCUCGUCCACGUGGCGCCCCUGCAGGUGACCGAGUGACCCUGGUGCCCCUGCGGGUGACAGAGUGACCCCAGGCUCCAGGCAGGAACGGAGUUCAGAGCUGGACAGGCAUCUGGGCUGGGGUGGCCCAGCAUAGGAGGUGUGGCCACACCCCGGGCCCUGCUGGAGGAGCUGUGGCCCCAGAGCCCUGAUGCUCAGGGUGAAGUUGCUUCACGGGCCCCCAAGCUCCAGCUCACGCUGGGAGGCUCCCAGAGCCCGGCCUGCCCAGUCAGGGCCCCACAGCCUGGGGGGCCCCGGCGGAUGUUCAGGCUAAACGGCCUGCUCUUGGAGGGCCCACCCACCGCAGGCUCCCUUCCCUCCACGGGCUCCUCGGGGAGGAGGUAUCCAACAGGUAGGCUGAGAGCUUCUGACGGGUCCAGACCCCUGCUCAGGCAGCGCUGCCCCCACCUCGGAGUGAAGGACCGCGGGAUCAGCGCAGCCCUGCGUCAGCACAGCCUGCCGAGCGGUGUAGCGGUGUUGAAAGUGGCCCGCGGCCCACAGCGACAUCUGGCCGUGCCACGCAGGGGAGAGGGCGGACAGGCGGGAGAUGGUGGAGGUGGGGCCCGCGGCCCUGUGGCUGAUGCCACCCGACGUUUCCCUGGGGGCCUUUACCGCUGAGUCACCUGCAGAAGAUAAGGCCGGAGAGUUCCGCAGGAAAUCGAGGCGUCUCGGGGACGUGUGUCUGGACCUGCGGGGUCAUCACGUGAGACAGGGUAUUUGGGAGGGAAAGUAGGGGGGCCCCACCCCCUACCGCAGAGGAGGGCACCCACGGCCCAUCCCUCCUUCCUCCUCCUCUGGGCCUGGGCCGUGCCAAGUUCGGUCCACCUUGGUUCUCACUCACUGAGAGGCCUCUGGAGGUGACAGUGUGCCUGUGCAGCUCUUGCCUGAAAGCCCGUUGGAGCUUUUCACAAAUGAUAUGAAAAGGCCCCCAGACCCUGCAGGUCCCGCCUCAGCUGCUCUCAGUCAACCCACACGGUUUCCACUCCUGGUCCCAGUUUAACUUCUGGAACCCAGUGGGGUGCCCCGGUUCCCUCACCCCUGGGAUCCCAUGGGAUCCUGUGGGACACCCCUGGUUCCCCCUGGGAUCGUGUGGGAUGCCCCAUUCUCUUCCCAGGUAAGCUGACUAUUGUAAACUCACCAACAGCUAUCACACCCCAGGAUGGUUAGCUCAUGUGUCCGCCUGGCUGGGCCACAGCACCAGCAUUUGGCCAAAUACCUGUCCAGAUGUCACUGUGAGCAUAUUUUCAGCACUAUGUAUCUGAUUCUCUGUCUGGCAAGCAUGUUGGCCUCUUCGUCCAUCAUGGCACAAUUUUCACCCUGUGAGGGUCUGGAGGGAAGCGACCGUCUGGAGUGACUGUGCUGCUCCUUCUGAAGAUAGUGCUAGAAGCCUGGGGAGACCCAGCAGGAGGGGGACCGUGGGGUUGUCUGAGGAGAGCUGGCCCCACAAGUCCACGUAAAUCAGAGUCAAGUUAAUCCUGUGGCAUGCGGGAAGGGGCCAGGGGAGCACGGACUCCGAGAGCAGAGGAUAAAACAGCCAUAGCCGGGGCACCGGGGACUGCGUUGGGGAAGAGACGGCCAGCCCCUGCAGGGCCACUCACCACUCGAUGGCUCGUCCCUGAGCGCAGCGCCUCACGUAUUCUAGGCGGGGUGUUCUCCCGUCCAUAUGCGUGUGACUUCAAAGUACAGCAGCAUGAAGGUGUCUUAGUCGCUGAUCAUUUAAAUAACAAGAAAUCAUACACUGAAAAGAAACCCUGUAUCUUUUUCUACCGAAAUAUAAUUUCAUGAUAUGACAAAAAAGUAGAACUAGAAGCUUCUGUUGCCAUGAGACAUGAUGAAACCACUUCCCACAAACCCACAAGGGCAGCGCCGGCUCAGGCUGCCGGAGGCGACCCACGGCGAGCAGGGAGGCCACCCGCCAAGGGGCAUCCCUCCCGCCCACACCCUCCCGCAGGGUGACUGGAGGGUCCUUGUCAGGCCAGAGGGCCCCUCUGCGCCCAGCUCCUGCCACAGCACAAGGGCACGCUGGCCAGCACAGGGCCGUGUUCGAGGAGGGGCAGGAGACAAGGAAAGGAGGGACUCUCCAGCUCCAAGCAUCCCCCACACUCUUCUGUUCUGACCCCUGCCCCCACCCCCUCAACCCUGGCCUUCGUGCUGGGCCACAGGCAGGGACCUGCCCUCUUUUCCUUUGGUUCUAAGACAUUAGCACCUUACGUGAUGAAGCCAGUUCCCCUGUGUGAGGCCCCCUGUGCUCCCUCCCAGCUCCUCUGCUCUCUCCCGACCCCCC